CAAGAAAACAAAGAAACAGAAAAUGUGUUUCAGGGUGGACUGCAAGCAAUGUGGGAAGUACUCGUGGGGAGGGUGUGGAAAGCACUUGAAGACUCUCUACGGCAGCAUUGAUCAGGGGAAGCACUGCAUGUGCCGUUCAUGGCCUGGGGUUGUUAUACCCAAGGAAGAAGUAGCCUCUGCCUCAGGAAAGUAGUAUAUCAUGAAGAUUCUUCUACGCUAGCCAGCAGUAGCUAAAUCAUAUUGAUAUUCAAGGUGGCCCUUGCACAAUAAUGUAGAGGGGGAAAUAGAGUUUGAAUAAUGGUAGCUAUAAGAACCCUAGAUGAUUACUAUCGUUUUCAUCUGGGUUCUGGUUUACAUGUUGUCUGCAUUGUGAUAUUAGUGAAUAAAUAAUGUUACUGCAGGUAAUGUUGGUCAAGACGGUUUUGACCAAACUCAAACCUGCAUUUGUUUUUACUGUACUGAUUGAACCAGCAACAAUAAUAAUAGAAUUAUGAUGUGUUAAUUGUAUA